UACGUAGGGUGCGAGCGUUAUUCGGAAUUAUUGGGCGUAAAGAGCUCGUAGGCGGUUUGUCACGUCUGCUGUGAAAACUGGAGGCUCAACCUUCAGCCUGCAGUGGGUACGGGCAGACUAGAGUGCGGUAGGGGAGAUUGGAAUUCCUGGUGUAGCGGUGGAAUGCGCAGAUAUCAGGAGGAACACCGAUGGCGAAGGCAGAUCUCUGGGCCGUUACUGACGCUGAGAAGCGAAAGCGUGGGGAGCGAACAGG
rnacentral:rRNA from 1 species